rnacentral:lncRNA from 1 species
CAUUAUUCUUUAAUAUUUUUAAGAUAAAAUUAUAUAAAAUUUAUCUAAACUAUAAAAUAUUUUGAAUUGCUUAUCCAACCUUUCAAAUUUUAAUUUCAUUAUCUAAACUUUUUAAUUUGUUUGAUUUGAGUCAACUAAUGAUAUCUUAAUUUUAAAAUAUGAAUAUGUUAUUUAUCUCAAUAAAUUUAGCUAGCCAGUAUACUUUAUACAAAUGUACAAUUAUCACAACUAUAAAUUUAUUAAAUUAAAAAUAAACUUAAAUUUUGAAAUUAAAAUAUUAUUGGCUAAUUCAAAUCAAACAAACUAAAAAAUUAAAUAAUAAAAUUAAAAUUUUAAAAAAAUAAAUAAUCGAAUCAAAAAUGGCGUAAAUUUUAUAUGUUUUAAUCUAUUUUUU